UACGUAGGGGGCUAGCGUUGUCCGGAAUCAUUGGGCGUAAAGAGCGUGUAGGCGGCUCGGUAAGUCCGCUCUGAAAGCCCGGGGCUCAACCCCGGGAGGCGGGCGGAUACUGUCGAGCUAGAGUCCGGAAGAGGCGAGUGGAAUUCCUGGUGUAGCGGUGAAAUGCGCAGAUAUCAGGAGGAACACCAAUAGCGAAGGCAGCUCGCUGGGACGGCACUGACGCUGAGACGCGAAAGCGUGGGGAGCAAACAGG
rnacentral:rRNA from 1 species